UGCGUAGGCGGCUGAUUAAGUCGGAUGUGAAAUCCCUGAGCUUAACUUAGGAAUUGCAUUCGAUACUGGUCAGCUAGAGUAUGGGAGAGGAUGGUAGAGUUCCAGGUGUAGCGGUGAAAUGCGUAGAGAUCUGGAGGAAUACCGAUGGCGAAGGCAGCCAUCUGGCCUAAUACUGACGCUGAGGUACGAAAGCAUGGGGAGCAAACA
rnacentral:rRNA from 1 species